GAGCUUAUUUUUUGUUUAAAAAGAUGAACUCGAGCCAAGAUUUCAGGCAAACAAUGAGCAAGACAUUUCCCUUCAUUUUGGAAGUUUAUUACAAAUCCAUUGAACAGUCUGGAAUGUAUGGGGUUAGAGAAAAAGAUCAGCAAAAAUGGUUGGAUAGCAAAAAUUAAGGAAAAAAAUGUGUAGGUUACUCAAAUGUGCACUGAUUUUCCAGAUCUGGUCCCCGACUAAUGUUUAUCUCUACAAGAAACCAACGGUAUCACUCAGGAUUACAAUCCCACAGCUGACAUGGAUGGAGUUUCUACUGUGUGAAACAAAAUAUAAAUUGUAAUUCAGAUCUUAUUCUUUGGCCUUGAAAAAGCUGACUGAAGAAUGUUUACUGUAUUAUCAAUAAACUUUUAUUUAUACUACUAAAAUAAAAUGUAUUAAA
rnacentral:lncRNA from 1 species